AAGGUGUCUUCCAAGAAGUCCC
rnacentral:siRNA from 1 species